rnacentral:rRNA from 1 species
AGAGUUUGAUCCUGGCUCAGGAUGAACGCUGGCGGCGUGCCUAAUACAUGCAAGUCGAGCGAACAGACGAGGAGCUUGCUCCUUCGACGUUAGCGGCGGACGGGUGAGUAACACGUAGGUAACCUACCUAUAAGACUGGGAUAACUUCGGGAAACCGGAGCUAAUACCGGAUAAUAUUUCGAACCGCAUGGUUCGAUAGUGAAAGAUGGCUUUGCUAUCACUUAUAGAUGGACCUGCGCCGUAUUAGCUAGUUGGUAAGGUAACGGCUUACCAAGGCAACGAUACGUAGCCGACCUGAGAGGGUGAUCGGCCACACUGGAACUGAGACACGGUCCAGACUCCUACGGGAGGCAGCAGUAGGGAAUCUUCCGCAAUGGGCGAAAGCCUGACGGAGCAACGCCGCGUGAGUGAUGAAGGUCUUCGGAUCGUAAAACUCUGUUAUUAGGGAAGAACAAACGUGUAAGUAACUGUGCACGUCUUGACGGUACCUAAUCAGAAAGCCACGGCUAACUACGUGCCAGCAGCCGCGGUAAUACGUAGGUGGCAAGCGUUAUCCGGAAUUAUUGGGCGUAAAGCGCGCGUAGGCGGUUUUUUAAGUCUGAUGUGAAAGCCCACGGCUCAACCGUGGAGGGUCAUUGGAAACUGGAAAACUUGAGUGCAGAAGAGGAAAGUGGAAUUCUAUGUGUAGCGGUGAAAUGCGCAGAGAUAUGGAAGAACACCAGUGGCGAAGGCGACUUUCUGGUCUGUAACUGACGCUGAUGUGCGAAAAGCGUGGGGAUCAAAACAGGAUUAGAUACUCUGGUAGUCCACGCCGUAAACGAUGAAUGCUAAGUGUUAGGGGGUUUUCCGCCCCUUAUUGCUGCAGCUAACGCAUUAAGCACUUCGCCUGGGGAGUCGACCGCAAGUUGAAACUCAAAGGAAUGACCG